UUACAGUAACUAACAAGAACUGAACUCCACCUAUCAUACUAUUUAGUUUGUAUAAAUGCAUUUUUUUUCAGAAAGAUGUUUUGAACUAAUCUACUUCCCUAGUAAGUUACCCCCAGCAUGAAUUUGAUCUCUGCUCAAAGAAAAAGUGUGUAAUGCUGGUGUUGGAUCCUGCUCUUUUUAUAUGCAGCACUGAAUGACAUCAUAACCUUCAUCUUAGUGUCUUUACAAUUAUAUAGUUUGUAUCAGCUGUGCUUUUUACCCUAUGCAAACAUUAGGUUUGACUAUUUCAUAUGCUAUCACUUGUCACAUGUCCACGAGUACAGCAGCACACUGCUCCACUAUACCAUUGUCUUAGAGAUAGACCUUUACUGUAUUCAUGACCCGGUUCUUGAGUAAGCAUGAAUAUUCUUGAAUAAGCUAUUGGCUUGCUGAGAAGGUGACACAUUUAAAAUCAACAACCUUUGUUAAAGUAAACCUGCUGAUUAAAAUUAAUUCUUACUUUUUACAAAAUGCAUUUUGUUCUAGCUGCUCACUCUCCUUUUCAAAACUUUAGGUUUUUUUUCUUUUUCUUUUUUUUUUUUUAGAUAGAUGGAUUUCCAUAUUUUCUUUUGCAUCACUCAUACUCUGCUAGGUACUUGAGAGGGGAAAGGAAGAAGGUGUUUUUUUCUCUAAGAAGCUGAAUUUCAUUAGUAUCAUCAUAUGCAUUUUUGUCCUUGUGAUGGUGAUUCGGAUGGAUGUGUUCAUACAGUAAAGAAAUAAAGUACUUGAAGCAGCAUGAGAUGAGACCAGAGAGGUUUGCUGGUCUGUGCAUGCAAAUACAGAAGGACUCGUUGAACCACCUACCCAUCAGGAAACUGUACGAGUAGCAAAGAACAUGGCUUUAAUUUUCAUGUCUGGAUUUCUAGAUAUGUAAGAGAAGGCAGUAGGUUUCUUAGACUUCUACUGAAUUUGUUUUAUUUUAUUUUGGGGGUGGCACAAGGGCAGAAAACAAGAAUAAACUUGUAUUACAUACAUCUUAUUUUGACA
rnacentral:lncRNA from 1 species